UUUUUUAUUUUAAAAAUAUUUUUUUAUUAUUUUAAAUUAAUUUUUUUAAUAUUAUAUUAAAAAUAAAUGUUUUAUAAAAAAAUAUCAUUUUAAUAUAUUUUCAAAUAAUAUUUUAAAAAAUAAUAAUUAUUAUGAUAAUAUGCAGCACCACCGAUUUACGAGUAGAACGGCGAACAAAUGUUGAAACGAUUCAGGCUUGAAUCCCCCUUCUCUUCAAGUUCAAGAUCCAAUAUCAAUAAUGAUUCUUUGUUUCCUUUCUUCUUCUUCUUCUUCUUCUUCUUCUUCUUCUUCUCCAGACGCUUGUGGAGUAUUAAUGCAGAAUAAUGCAACUUCAGCCCCCCCAUUAGCUGACGAGGAGGAAGAAAGUUAGGUGAAAAAAAAUGAUGUGGAAUCUGAUGAAUUGAAGAACAUGCAUGCUGUUACAACAAUGAUACUCCAUUGUGGAUGAGAUGAGUCACUCAUCUAUCAUACGUGUUUCUCAGACCACCUUGAAUGCUGGGAGUGGCUCUCCUGGAUUUUCACAUGGUCUUAAUUGGGCUCUAGCUAGAAAAGGUGUUACUGUGAAGGAUAAAAAGCCUUUAGAAACUUGAGUCCUUCUGAGCUACAACAGAAAGGUGCAAUCGCAGCAGGCGGUGAACUUCAACGCAUACUGUUACUAUUUCCAAUGAUCUUUCUUUAUAUUCCAUCACUGUGUUUAUCUUAUUUCUUUCUUUUUUUCAUUUGUUUCUCCUUUCUUUUGGAAUCUUUGUCAGGAGUUCCCAUUCAUGUUAGGGGGAGUCUUCUUGGGAGAGCUUCCGAAAUUUCCAAGCCGUAAUUCAGUAAACUUCUCAAAC